ensembl:lncRNA
AAAAUUUUCUGUUGUUCUCCCUGCAGAUCCUGUCAAAAGAAAAUCACCUGUCCUAUAGCUAUAUAUUUCAUUUUUAAAAACCAACAGCACUUUUAAGAGCCAACCUCUAUAUCUUUAUUUUCUAUAUCUUCCUCUCUGUUCUCUAUCUAUAUUUCUGUCCAUCUAUUCAAUCUUUAUCUAUUGCUUUUUCUUUUCUCCCUGUCUGUCUUUGUCUACUUGUCUGUCUACCCAUAUUUGUCUGUCUGUCUGUGUGUCUGUAUUUGACUGUAUCAUUUCGUUAAAAUGCCAUUGGGGUCUGUAAAAAAGAUCUGCCCUUUUUGUAAGGGGAUUUUAUAUUGUGCACAAAAGGUGUGCUCCCAUUGUAAAGCAGAGCAACCUCUGAAGCAGCGCCUCAAGAAGAAGCUUCAGAGGCUUGAUGAGAAGCGAGAGAAAUGGGUGGUUGGUCGUAAGAAAAACCACAACUCUGCAUCCAUCAAGGAUGAAGCCAGUGUCAUGCUUGAGAAACUCCAUGCCAUUGGCUACAAGCCAAUACUCCUGCUAGGAAAGGAGGCUCAUUGUAUGAAUACCUUUGUGAAGGGGUACCAAGGCAUAUGCCUGAAAGGAAAAGGCAACAAAAGAAUUGCUCCUACCACACUCGCCUAGAGGUUUUCCCCAUCAAGAGUGUAUUAAGAGAAAGAGUGAGAAAGGGCAAAGCAGAAAUGCUGGUUGACUGGGAGCCCUGUCCAGUAUGUGGUGAGCAGUGGGCCCAUUCCUGGCAGCCAAAGGAUUCACUCCAAAAUAAAUAAAAUGUAUGUUUAGAACUCUAAACAUUUUUGUUUCACCCUAUUUAUUAAAUUGUUUCUGUGCUGCAUUUGAACUCAUAUCUCAUCUUUCUGUAGUACUGAAAAGGGGAACAUCUCCAAGAAUGUGAUCUGGAGUUUAAUCUCAAAAGGGAAUGUACUAGAAAUGUACUUAAUCCAACUCAAUUUUCUUUAUCAGAUGUUAUUCAAAAGCAUGAUUUUCAUAUUUCAUGAUUAUAAAUUGCACUGUUAUUUUAUUACAGUUGACAUGUAAUUUGAUUUUAUGUUCUGUUUUCUGUUCUUUGUGAGUGAACUUAACCUCACAGUCCACUGUUAAGAAAUACAAUGUUAUGGCUUGUUUGACAUGAAGCUUAAAUAUGAAGUUCAUCAAAUAAGACUGACCUUCAUUAUACUUGCAUAUUAUAAUAAUAUCUUUUACAUUGUCUCUCUCACUCCUACUUCAAACUCAUCAGCUGACUGGGUGUUUUAUGUCUUAAACCAAAAUGUAUUUUCAUCUCAACUUUCUUGAGCCAAUCGUGUCAUAAAGUAGGUCUCUCCACCUUGGUCAUCAUGAGAAGAGCUUUACAUUCAUCUACGUAGAUCUCAGCAAUGCUACUCACCCCUUCACCACCCCCACCAGUGUCUUCAUGUAGGGGAUAUCCCAUUGCAUAUCUUGCAUUUCUUUUAAAAGAAUGAUGUCUUGAUGUGGUCCAACUGCCAAAGACUAUAUUGUUUCAAUUUGUUAUGCACC